GUCUUCGGCCAUACCAUCCUGAACACGCCCAAUCCUUUCUGAUCUCGGCAGCUAAGCAGGGUCGGGCCUGGUUAGUACUUGGAUGGGAGACCACCUAGGAAGACCAGGUGCUGUAGGCA
rnacentral:rRNA from 1 species